rnacentral:tRNA from 1 species
AACCUCAGUUGUGUGGGGGACUCAAAAUCCCCCGCCGCAAGGCGUGCCGGUUCGAUUCCGGCCCCGGGCACCA